rnacentral:lncRNA from 1 species
UGAUGCGGUACCCUACUUGUGAGAAAAGUGUACAACCUCUGCAGAGUUAAAACCUAUCCGGGUAGCCGUGUCCACGGCAUUGGACGAGUUACGGCUUGGUCACAUAACUAGCACUUGGGCAUGGAUGGUGUGUGUAUGUGUCUGUGAGUUGAAUUUUGGAAGAGUCCGGCAGUUGUGCCGUGCGCUAUGGCGGACGGGGAGUCCGAUAGCGAUAAAACUUGGAUCCUUUGUGUAGGAUCA